rnacentral:rRNA from 1 species
UAUCCAGACUCCUACGGGAGGCAGCAGUGAGGAAUAUUGGUCAAUGGGCGCAAGCCUGAACCAGCCAAGUCGCGUGAGGGAUGACGGUCCUAUGGAUUGUAAACCUCUUUUGUCGGGGAGCAAAAGACGCCACGCUUGGCGUUCCGAGAGUACCCGAAGAAAAAGCAUCGGCUAACUCCGUGCCAGCAGCCGCGGUAAUACGGAGGAUGCGAGCGUUAUCCGGAUUUAUUGGGUUUAAAGGGUGCGCAGGCGGAAUGUCAAGUCAGCGGUAAAAUUUCGGGGCUCAACCCCGUCGUGCCGUUGAAACUGGCGUUCUUGAGUGAGCGAGAAGUAUGCGGAAUGCGUGGUGUAGCGGUGAAAUGCAUAGAUAUCACGCAGAACUCUGAUUGCGAAGGCAGCAUACCGGCGCCCAACUGACGCUCAUGCACGAAAGCGUGGGUAUCGAACAGGAUUAGAUACCCCAGUA